rnacentral:RNase_P_RNA from 2 species
UGAGCAAACUGAACAAUUGCGGACAUUAAUUCGAAAGAAUUUGCCCGAGGAAAGUCCGAGCUCCACAGGGCAGGAUAACGGCUAACGGCCGCCAGGGGCGACCCUAGGGAAAGUGCAACAGAAAUAUACCGCCAAAAUAAUUUUGGUAAGGGUGGAACGGCGAGGUAAGCGCUCACCAGCAUGUGGGAGACUAUGUGGCUCUGCAAACCCUAUCCGGAGCAACACCGCAGAGAGAUUUUUUCGCAUUUGCCCGAUGCUUCUCGAGAAGGUGGCAUUGAGCUGAUUUGGUAACUUUCAGCCAAGAUAGAUAAUUGUUCUCGACAGAACUCGGCUUAUAGGUUUGGUCACUUU